rnacentral:rRNA from 1 species
CCCGGGCGACCGGCGCACGGGUGAGUAACACGUAUGAAACCUGCCCGUAGCAGGGGGAUAAGCGGAAGAAAUUCCGUCUAAUACCGCGUAACAACCCAUGGAGGCAUCUCUGUGGGUUUAAAGGAAGCGAUUCCGGCUACGGAUGGUCAUGCGUCGCAUUAGCUUGUUGGCGGGGUAACGGCCCACCAAGGCGACGAUGCGUAGGGGUUCUGAGAGGAAGGUCCCCCACACUGGUACUGAGACACGGACCAGACUCCUACGGGAGGCAGCAG